UUGGCGCAUGAUCUGACACCGUGUAGAGUCCUCACUGAAGUCCCCAGGAGCCACUGACUUCCAGGGAGUCCCAAUCUUCUCUGUCUUUCCUAAAAGCUGAGUAUUAUGUUGCCCUUUCCUCGCCCUCAAAUAAAAGGGGUGGGGGGCUAGAAACUAGAUAAAAAGGAAGAUUCCUUCCAGCCCUAGGAUCCGUGAUUGUAAUCUCCCCCGUAAUCGUCUCAGGAUUGGACUGUUCUGCAAAAUAAAAUCACUGCAUUUCCUUUUAGAUGCAGAGGUCUAUAAAGCUGUGGUUGGAGAUUUGAGAGAAAGCACGCAACGACACGAGACCAAGAUGAUGUAAGGUGGUGACAUCGGCAUCAGGAUGCUGUUGCUAAGGGAGAAGGCAGAUAGGAAAGUAUGUGAUGGUAAAGAAGAAAGACCUGGAACCUUAUGUGGUUGGCACAGAAAAGGCAGCGUAAGGAGACCUGGGUGUGAAGGAAGAAGGACAGAAGCCACCACCUUAUGGCUCUGAAGGAUGGAUUCUGCCAUCACUACAGCCAGCACGCAGCAGCAACAGUAAGGAACAAGAGGUGGCACUUGGUGACACAGUUAGAGGCCAAGUUAGAGCUAGUCCAUAUCAAGAGUAUGGACUCCAAAGCCAGCCAGCCUGGGACAACUGGCCUCCCCACUGACCACGUGAGUGAUGCUAGGAGGGUCGUAUCGUGACUCAGACCACUUUUCUCGCAGUGAAAUUAGGAUAAUAAUAGCAUCAUGCAUCUGACAACACCGUGCUCCACACAGUGACCACUCCACAAAUGUUUAAUGAGUAGAUUGCUCCCCCUGUUCCCAGUCCUGUGGGGAGCGUCCUGGAAGCACUCAUCAUCAUGUGUAGAAUUGGGUGGAGGGAGAAGAGGAGGGACACAUUUUCCACAAGUGGAUGUUUUCUUUGGAAUAUAGGAUUUAGGCCAGGUUAAGAUUUGCCAGGGUAAUUGCCCGUGUAGGUCACUCUCCAGCCACCAGGAGCCCUCUGCUGGUCAGGAAAGCCUGGGCAUCUGGUCUCCAAGAUGGGCCUGAGAAGGACUGGGAAGACUGGUCCAGCCAAGAUAUGCCAGAGCCCCAGCGACUUCCAGGAUGGCUGUGAGUCUAAGAAGUGAAGAGAGAGAUGUUGAGGCGUGGCAGCUGCCUCACAAGUUCCUGUCAACACUGAGGACCACAGUGAAGUAAGGAAAUAUGGUGUCAAAUAGAAAGAUGUUGAGUUGAAUGAGGUUAGCUGGCAUGAAUGUGGCCCAAUGAAAAGAAAAGAAAGAAAAAAAGAGAGAGAGAAAAUGAAUGAUGUAUCUGGACCAGUGCAUCCCCAAACUAUCCACCAGUUCACCAUACUAGUUAGAUGAACCAAAGAGUCUCAGGCAUUGUAAAUCCUCCAACACCAUGAGCUACACACCCUCUCCUGGAGAUUCAGGAUGCUCGUUCCUCGGAUCAAAGGUCUGAGAAGUCCUUCAGUAAAAACACAUUUAUUUAUUUCUAAUUUCCCAACUUACGUACCAUGGAUCCUUUCCUUCAGGAACACUUUGAGCCAAGCACCCAUAGAUCUUCCUUCAGGGAUCAUUGUGUAAUACAAAGAGCUCUGUGGGGUCAGGUCUGUGUCUCACUUAUCUUGAUAGAUCAUCUCGAUGGUCUCAGAUGGGAGCAAUAUAUUGUGAACAUAGGACAAAUCCUGAUCGAAGGCAAGUGGGUUGAGGUUAGGGUAGCAGUCCUCAAAGAACAGAAAGAGAUGGAAAUGAGAACAAGGGUGUUGACAGAGGAUGCACAUCAAAUAGAGCACUGAUCUUCAGGGUGUAUGAAGGACUCAAAAAUCUUAACACCAAAAAAAUAAGACAAAAACAACAACAACAAAAAGAACCCAAUCAAUCAAUGGAACGAGGAACUGAACAGACACUUCUUAGAAGAUGAUGUACAGUCA